rnacentral:rRNA from 1 species
AACGAACGCUGGCGGCAGGCCUAACACAUGCAAGUCGAGCGAGCAUUUCGGUGCUAGCGGCGGACGGGUUAGUAACGCGUGGGAACGUGCCCUUUUCUGCGGAAUAGUCCUGGGAAACUGGGGGUAAUACCGCAUACGCCCUUUUGGGGAAAGAUUUAUCGGAGAAGGAUCGGCCCGCGUUGGAUUCGGUAGUUGGUGGGGUAAUGGCCCACCAAGCCGACGAUCCAUAGCUGGUUUGAGAGGGUGAUCAGCCACACUGGGACUGAGACACGGCCCAGACUCCUACGGGAGGCAGCAGUGGGGAAUCUUAGACAAUGGGGGCAACCCUGAUCUAGCCAUGCCGCGUGAGUGAUGAAGGCCUUAGGGUUGUAAAGCUCUUUCAGCUGGGAAGAUAAUGACGGUACCAGCAGAAGAAGCCCCGGCUAACUCCGUG